UGCAAUAACCCGACCUACUAGUUACAAUAUCUCGUUGGGUCCAAAUCACCGACCCAAAAUGCUUAAGUCCAGUUAUUAUUAUUUGGGUCCUAGUCUCUUUAUAUCCAAUCACAACACAUUCCGAUCCGAUGUGGGACUAUUGGGAUGUCAUAAACUUUCUCUUUAUAAAUCCAAUCACAACACAUUUCGAUCUGAUGCGGGACUAUUGGAGUGUCAUAGACUCUCUCAUUUAUCGUUUAGACACAUACAGCCCAAGAUCACCAGGUGAUAUAAGACUUAUCUCGCUAGCUUUAUUAUUCUGACCCUGGCUUGGUCUGUUACCUUGUCAUUUCGACUAUGGCUUAACCUAUCAUUCCAAUCCUGGCUCAGCCAGAUUCAUUUCAUACUUUCGGCUGGUGAUUGGGUCUGAUAUCAAAUAUGAUGACUCGAUCCACUAGCGAUAAUAACUCGUUGGGUCCAAACUAUACUGACCCAACUUAAGCCCAGUUAUUAUUAUUAAGGUCCGUAGUCUCUUUAUAAACCCAAUCACAAUCCGUUCCUAUCCGAUGUAGGAC
rnacentral:lncRNA from 1 species